UUAGUGGCGGACGGGUGAGUAACGCGUGGAUAACCUGCCGUAUACAGGGGGAUAACACUUAGAAAUAGGUGCUAAUACCGCAUAAGCACACGGUUCCGCAUGGAACAGUGUGAAAAACUCCGGUGGUAUACGAUGGAUCCGCGUCUGAUUAGCCAGUUGGCGGGGUAACGGCCCACCAAAGCGACGAUCAGUAGCCGGCCUGAGAGGGUGAACGGCCACAUUGGGACUGAGACACGGCCCAAACUCCUACGGGAGGCAGCAG
rnacentral:rRNA from 1 species